GUGGGUAUAGUUCAGUGGUAGAGCAGGUGCUUAGCAUGCAUAGGGUCCUGGGUUCAGUUCCCAGCACCUCCA
rnacentral:tRNA from 1 species